CAGCAACACAUAGCUGAAUGGAUGGACCCCAUAAGCUGCUUCAGUGCCCAGAUGUGGCAGCCUUAGUGGAUGACUUCACCACCUGCAUUCUGGCAAACUGGUUCAAGAGUGAGGAGCCAGCCACAGUGAAGCCAUUGCUGCAGAUGCUAGAGGUCUUUGCGAAGCAUGAAAACAUGGUAAAAUGGGGCAGGGGCUAAGGGUGUGCGCUCAGGAGAUGUAACCAGGAGAAGGAACAUCUGGUGUGUCCAGUUAUAGAUAGGGUGGGACACACUCUUGGGAUCAAAGAGAGCAAAUCCUCAUGAGGCCAGUACAGCACAGACAGGAGUUGGGGCUUGAGCCAUUCAUGAUUUCUCCCUCCCAGGAAAGGUCUCCUGAGGAAGUUUUUUCAUGGGUCAUUUCAGAGAAUAGACCAAGCUAACCCCAGGAUCUCACACGUCAUCCAGGUCCCUUGGAGAUUGCUGUCAUCAUCAGGGAUGAGAAGCGCAGUGGCGAUGGAAACUUACAGUGUAGUGGGAGGAGGGGGCCUCCUCUGUUUUCUCCCCUUCCCUCAUGAUGGACACAAGGUACCUCCCCAAAUGCCCUCCUGGGCAGCUCAC
rnacentral:lncRNA from 1 species